CACGUCCGUGGUAGAAGUGGGGUUCUGUGGUGGGAGUGAACCGAUAUCUCGUUCUACUGAAAAACACAAGUCAUGAGUCGAAAAGAACGAAAAAAACGAUAAAAGCAACGUUCAUAGGUAUCCUGCGUGCUUUCAAAGUGCAAGAUUUUUCACGAGACAGGAAGAAGAUUUAAAAUAUGCUGAAGUGGAACCAAAUACUUCCAAGGCACAUAAAAAGGAAACUGGUGAUACGCAACAGAAC